AGAGUUUGAUCCUGGCUCAGGAUGAACGCUGGCGGCGUGCUUAACACAUGCAAGUCGAACGAACCUUCGGGUUAGUGGCGGACGGGUGAGUAACGCGUGGGAAUCUGCCCUCAGGAGGGGGAUAACGGCUGGAAACGGCCGCUAAUACCCCAUAUGCCGAGAGGUGAAAUGAAUUUCGCCUGAGGAUGAGCCCGCGUCUGAUUAGCUAGUUGGUGAGGUAAUGGCUCACCAAGGCUUCGAUCAGUAGCUGGUCUGAGAGGAUGAUCAGCCACACUGGGACUGAGACACGGCCCAGACUCCUACGGGAGGCAGCAGUGGGGAAUUUUCCGCAAUGGGCGCAAGCCUGACGGAGCAACGCCGCGUGAGGGAUGAAGGCCUCUGGGCUGUAAACCUCUUUUCUCAAGGAAGAAGAUCUGACGGUACUUGAGGAAUAAGCCACGGCUAAUUCCGUGCCAGCAGCCGCGGUAAUACGGGAGUGGCAAGCGUUAUCCGGAAUUAUUGGGCGUAAAGCGUCCGCAGGCGGCCUUUCAAGUCUGCUGUUAAAGCGUGGAGCUUAACUCCAUCAAGGCAGUGGAAACUGUUGGGCUUGAGUGUGGUAGGGGCAGAGGGAAUUCCCGGUGUAGCGGUGAAAUGCGUAGAUAUCGGGAAGAACACCAGUGGCGAAGGCGCUCUGCUGGGCCAUAACUGACGCUCAUGGACGAAAGCCAGGGGAGCGAAAGGGAUUAGAUACCCCUGUAGUCCUGGCCGUAAACGAUGAACACUAGGUGUCGGGGGAAUCGACCCCCUCGGUGUCGUAGCCAACGCGUUAAGUGUUCCGCCUGGGGAGUACGCACGCAAGUGUGAAACUCAAAGGAAUUGACGGGGGCCCGCACAAGCGGUGGAGUAUGUGGUUUAAUUCGAUGCAACGCGAAGAACCUUACCAGGGUUUGACAUCCUGCGUACCUCUUAGAAAUUUGAGGGUGCCUUCGGGAACGCAGUGACAGGUGGUGCAUGGCUGUCGUCAGCUCGUGUCGUGAGAUGUUGGGUUAAGUCCCGCAACGAGCGCAACCCACGUUUUUAGUUGCCAGCAUUCAGUUGGGCACUCUAGAGAGACCGCCGGUGAUAAACCGGAGGAAGGUGUGGAUGACGUCAAGUCAUCAUGCCCCUUACAUCCUGGGCUACACACGUACUACAAUGCUACGGACAAAGGGCAGCUAACUCGCGAGAGCAAGCAAAUCCCAUAAACCGUGGCUCAGUUCAGAUCGUAGGCUGCAACUCGCCUACGUGAAGUAGGAAUCGCUAGUAAUCGCAGGUCAGCAUACUGCGGUGAAUACGUUCCCGGGCCUUGUACACACCGCCCGUCACACCAUGGAAGUUGGCCACGCCCGAAGUCGUUACUCCAACCCUUGUGGAGGAGGACGCCGAAGGUGGGGCUGAUGACUGGGGUGAAGUCGUAACAAGGUAGCCGUACCGGAAGGUGCGGCUG
rnacentral:rRNA from 1 species